GGCUCGAGAGGGUUGCUGGACGUAUCACAAGUGCGAAUGCUGACAUAAGUAACGAUAAAACGAGUGAAAAACUCGUUCGCCGGAAGACCAAGGGUUCCUGUCCAACGUUAAUCGGGGCAGGGUGAGUCGGCCCCUAAGGCGAGGCUGAAAAGCGUAGUCGAUGGGAAACGGGUUAAUAUUCCCGUACUUGGUAAAGCUGCGAUGUGGGGACGGAGAAGGUUAGGUAAGCGGACUGUUGGAUAUGUUCGUUUAAGCAGGUAGUUGGAAAGGGUAGGCAAAUCCGCUCUUUCAUACAACAACGAGACGUGAUGACGAGGCUCUACGGAGCUGAAGUUACCGAUACCCAGCUUCCAGGAAAAGCCACUAAGCGAAAGGCUUUACUAAACCGUACUGAAAACCGACACAGGUGGUCAGGUAGAGAAUACUCAGGCGCUUGAGAGAACUCGGGUGAAGGAACUAGGCAAAAUAGCACCGUAACUUCGGGAGAAGGUGCGCUUACAGUAAUUGUAGUCCCUUGCGGAUGAAGGUGAAGUAAGUCGAAGAUACCAGCUGGCUGCAACUGUUUAUUAAAAACACAGCACUCUGCAAACACGAAAGUGGACGUAUAGGGUGUGAUGCCUGCCCGGUGCUGGAAGGUUAAUUGAUGGUGUUAUCGAAAGAGAAGCUCCUGAUCGAAGCCCCAGUAAACGGCGG
rnacentral:rRNA from 1 species